rnacentral:rRNA from 1 species
GACGAACGCUGGCGGCGUGCUUAACACAUGCGAGUCGAACGGAAAGGCCUCUUUCGGGGGGUACUCGAGUGGCGAACGGGUGAGUAACACGUGAGUAACCUGCCCUUGACUUUGGGAUAACUUCAGGAAACUGGGGCUAAUACCGGAUAGGAGCUCCCGCUGCAUGGUGGGGGUUGGAAAGUUUCGGCGGUUGGGGAUGGACUCGCGGCUUAUCAGCUUGUUGGUGGGGUAGUGGCUUACCAAGGCUUUGACGGGUAGCCGGCCUGAGAGGGUGACCGGCCACAUUGGGACUGAGAUACGGCCCAGACUCCUACGGGAGGCAGCAGUGGGGAAUAUUGCACAAUGGGUGGAAGCCUGAUGCAGCAACGCCGUGUGCGGGAUGACGGCCUUCGGGUUGUAAACCGCUUUCGCUCAUGACGAAGCUUUGUGUGACGGUAGUGGGUAAAGAAGCACCGGCUAACUACGUG